rnacentral:rRNA from 1 species
UGGGGAAUAUUGCGCAAUGGGCGAAAGCCUGACGCAGCGACGCCGCGUGAGGGAUGAAGGCCUUCGGGUUGUAAACCUCUUUCAGCAGGGACGAAGCGAAAGUGACUGUACCUGCAGAAGAAGCGCCGGCUAACUACGUGCCAGCAGCCGCGGUAAUACGUAGGGCGCAAGCGUUGUCCGGAAUUAUUGGGCGUAAAGAGCUCGUAGGCGGUCUGUUACGUCUGCUGUGAAAACCCGGGGCUCAACCCCGGGCCUGCAGUGGAUACGGGCAGACUAGAGUGCGGUAGGGGAAACUGGAAUUCCUGGUGUAGCGGUGAAAUGCGCAGAUAUCAGGAGGAACACCGGUGGCGAAGGCGGGUUUCUGGGCCGUCACUGACGCUGAGGAGCGAAAGCGUGGGGAGCGAACAGG